GACGAACGCUGGCGGCGUGCUUAACACAUGCAAGUCGAACGGUAAGGCCCUUCGGGGUACACGAGUGGCGAACGGGUGAGUAACACGUGGGUGAUCUGCCCUGCACUUCGGGAUAAGCCUGGGAAACUGGGUCUCAUACCGGAUAGGACUCCUGGCUUCAUGGUUGGGCGUGGAAAGCUUGUGUGGUGUGGGAUGGGCCCGCGGGCUAUCAGCUUGUUGGUGGGGUAAUGGCCUACCAAGCCGAAGACGGGUAGCCGGCCUGAGUGGGUGACCGGUCACACUGGGACUGAGAUACGGCCCAGACUCCUACGGGAGGCAGCAGUGGGGAAUAUUGCACAGUGGGCGCAAGCCUGAUGCAGCGACGCCGCGUGAGGGAUGACGGCCCUCGGGUUGUAAACCUCUUUCAGCUAUGACGAAGCGCAAGUGACGGUAGUAGCAGAAGAAGGACCGGCCAACUACGUGCCAGCAGCCGCCGUAA
rnacentral:rRNA from 1 species